UCCCGACACGGGGAGGUAGUGACGAAAAAUAACAAUACAGGACUCUAACGAGGCCCUGUAAUUGGAAUGAGUACAUUCUAAACCCUUUAACGAGUAUCCAUUGGAGGGCAAGUCUGGUGCCAGCAGCCGCGGUAAUUCCAGCUCCCACAGUGUAUGUUAAGGUUGUUGCGGUUGAAAAGCUCGUAGUUGGAUCUUGGGUGGGCGCCCCGGUCCGUCGCAAGGCGUGUUACUGGCGGCGCUCGCCUCGCCUUCGGUUCUCCGUCGGUGCUCUUGACUGAGUGUCGGCGGUGGCCGAUAAGUUUACUUUGAAAAAAUUAGAGUGUUCAAAGCAGGCUGUUCGCCUGCAUAGUGUUGCAUGGAAUAAUGGAAUAGGACCUCGGUUCUAUUUUGUUGGUUUUCGGAGCGCGAGGUAAUGAUUAAGAGGGACAGACGGGGGUGUCCGUACUCUGCCGUUAGAGGUGAAAUUCUUGGAUCGGCGGAAGACGAACUACUGCGAAAGCAUUCGCCAAGAAUGUUUUCUUUAAUCAAGAGCGAAAGUCAGAGGUUGAAGACGAUCAGAUCCCGUCCUAGUUCUGACUAUAAACGAUGCCAACUAGCGAUCGGGAGGCGUUACCAUGACGACCUUCCCGGCAGCUUCCGGGAAACCAAAGUCUUUGGGUUCUGGGGGAAGUAUGGUUGCAAAGCUGAAACUUAAAGGAAUUGACGGAAGGGCACCACCAGGAGUGGAGCCUGCGGCUUAAUUUGACUCAACACGGGGAAACUCACCCGGCCCGGACACCGUAAGGAUUGACAGAUUGAGAGCUCUUUCUUGAUUCGGUGGGUGGUGGUGCAUGGCCGUUCUUAGUUGGUGGAGCGAUUUGUCUGGUUAAUUCCGAUAACGAACGAGACUCUGGCCUGCUAAAUAGUCCGCCCCCCGCCAAUGGGAGGGGCGCCCGACUUCUUAGAGGGACCAGCGGCGUAUCAGCCGCACGAGAUUGAGCGAUAACAGGUCUGUGAUGCCCUUAGAUGUUCGGGGCCGCACGCGCGCUACACUGAAAGAGGCAGAGGGUCGAGUCCUGGUCUGGCGAGGCUGGGCAACCCGUGGAGAAACUCUAUCGUGCUAGGGACUGGGGCUUGCAAUUGUUCCCCACCAACGAGGAAUUCCCAGUAAGCGCGAGUCAUCAGCUCGUGUUGAUUACGUCCCUGCCCUUUGUACACACCGCCCGUCGCUACUACCGAUUGAAUGGUUUAGUGAGGCCUUCGGACGGGCCCCGGGCCGGCCGCUCGCGGCUGGCUGUCUUGGUGUCGCCUGAAAGACGGUCGAACUUGAUCAUUU
rnacentral:rRNA from 1 species